rnacentral:rRNA from 1 species
CCAAUAGCGUAUAUUAAAGUUGUUGCAGUUAAAAAGCUCGUAGUUGAAUUUCGGGAUUAGUGCGCCGGUCGUGCCUUCGGUAUGUACUGGUGUUACUGGUUCCUACCUUCUGACGAACCGUCAUGUCAUUAAUUUGGUGUGGCGGGGAAUCAGGACUGUUACUUUGAAAAAAUUAGAGUGUUUAAAGCAGGCUCGCGCUUGAAUACAUUAGCAUGGAAUAAUGAAAUAGGACGUUCGAUCCUAUUUUGUUGGUUUCUAGGAUUGACGUAAUGAUUAAUAGGGAUAGUUGGGUGCAUUAGUAUUCAAUUGUCAGAGGUGAAAUUCUUGGAUUUAUUGAAGACUAACUACUGCGAAAGCAUUUGCCAAGGAUGUUUUCAUUAAUCAAGAACGAAAGUUAGGGGAUCGAAGACGAUCAGAUACCGUCGUAGUCUUAACCAUAAACUAUGCCGACUAGGGAUCGGAUGAUGUUAUUUUUAAUGACUCAUUCGGCGCCUUACG